UACCGUUCCAAACCCCAUCUGGUUCUAGUUUUGGUUCUGGCCCGAUUUGUUUAGGCUGGUUUCGGUUCUUCUGAGUGCUGGAAUUGCCGCCGCUGCUCUGUUUCCAUAGGUCCCCUAAUUACAUUUCGGUUAUUAUAUGUGCGAUUAGAGUUGCUGUGCUUGUCGGGAGUUGUCACUGAAGCUGUUGGGCUCGCCAUGGUUACACCCAGGUUGCUGCUACAUCACUGGAGACCACAGCUAAAGCCUUUGUCUUCUUGGGUUUCUAUUGCCGCGAAUUAUUUAGUUGUACGCCGUCGCCGAAACUGGUCCAGAUUUACCGGACGGCAGGUCAGAUUCCUGUUCUUCUGCCGCUAAGAGCUGACACCUGAACUGUUCCUAAUGAUUCUAGUCAGAUAUCUUUUUCGAUUCUAGCUACUGUAAUUGCGAUUUGUAAUAAUGCGGUCGCUAGAAGAGGUAUUAGAGCUGUUGCUACUUUUGUGGGGUUAAUACUAAUCACUGUUUCCAUAAACUAAAAGGAGAGGGAAUUAUCAUGAUAAAUUUGUGCGAA